rnacentral:rRNA from 1 species
GGGGAAUAUUGGGCAAUGGGCGCAAGCCUGACCCAGCAACGCUGUGUGAAGGAAGAAGGCUUUCGGGUUGUAAACUUCUUUUGUCAGGGACGAGUAGAAGACGGUACCUGACGCAUAAGCCACGGCUAACUACGUGCUAGCAGUUGCGGUAAUACGUAGGUGGCAAGCGUUGUCCGGAUUUACUGGGUGUAAAGGGCGUGUAGCCGGGAGGGCAAGUCAGAUGUGAAAUCCACGGGCUCAACUCGUGAACUGCAUUUGAAACUACUCUUCUUGAGUAUCGGAGAGGCAAUCGGAAUUCCUAGUGUAGCGGUGAAAUGCGUAGAUAUUAGGAGGAACACCAGUGGCGAAGGCGGAUUGCUGGACGACAACUGACGGUGAGGCGCGAAAGCGUGGGGAGCAAAC